AUCGCUCUUUGUAAAUAUAAAAUAAGGAGUCGUACCUGCCCGGUGAAAAAUUUAACGGCCGCAGUACCCUGACUGUGCAAAGGUAGCAUAAUCAUUUGCCUUUUAAUUGAAGGCUGGAAUGAAUGGUUUGACGAAAUUCUCCUGUCUCUAUCUUAUUAAAUAGAAUUUAAUUUUUAGGUGAAGAAGCCUGAAUGAAGUCAAAAGACGAAAAGACCCUGUCGAACUUUAGAGUAAUUAUGAAAUUAUAUGCUUUUUAGAAUAAAUGUUUUUUAGAAUUUCUCUUUUGUUGGGGUGACAGAAGAACAGAUAAAGCUUCUUUUAGUUGAGGAAACUUAUAUGUUGAAAAGAUCCAUAAAAAUUUAUGAUAGUAAGAUAAGUUACCGCAGGGAUAACAGCGUUAUUUUUCUGGAGAGUUCAAAUUGAAGGAAAAGAUUGCGACCUCGAUGUUGGAUUGGAAUACCUAAUAGGCGGAGAAGCUUGUUGUUGGGGGUCUGUUCGACCUUUAAAUUUCCACAUG
rnacentral:rRNA from 1 species